rnacentral:sRNA from 1 species
UUCCCCCAAAAAACGAUACAGCGAGUUCUUAUCAUCUUUUGCUGUCUUAUAUUCUAGUACUCGAUAGAGAAGCCGUGGAGGGCAAAAAUAAAACGCAAAAAUGUUUCCAGUGCAAGUCUGUAUGUUUGCAAUGAGUUGGUUAUUGUAACAGUGUGAUGUGGUAACGACAUUUUCCUACCUGUCAAAACAAUGCGAGCAAAAAAGUGAAAAAAUACCUGCGUGAAGAUCUGCCUGAAGUUACCAACCAGCGUUACCGUUGGGAAUUUUGAAAAUGUGGCACAAAAACUCGUUUUUUUUCUUUUGCAAAAAAUUCGGAUCAAAAUGUGUUUUCCAAAAAAAGUCGCACAUAUUUAUUCUAUGAUUUAAUUAAAUUCAUUUUUUAUUGAAGAAGUAUGGACACACCAACAAUUUGCGCCGUAGGUAGAUGUUAAAGUGCAUAGAAUAUUAUAAAAAAUCAAUAAAAUAUGAUAAAAAUAUGCUUGGUUAAAUUUAAAAUGUUUGGUAUUUUUACGGUGGUUGCGGAAUGGGAGGUUUAGUUGAUGAUGUUCGACUUGCAGACGAUGCGAGUGGAAGCAAGCUAAGAUCAAAGGGCGGUUCGACUUUGAAGGCUCUGUUGCCAUAGCCGAUGGCCCGCAAUACUAAAUCUCAGCCGCUUGGGAUCCCGUGUGCCAAGUUUACGAAAUUGUGCGCUUGGGUUGUGUGGUUUUAAUAAAUUGCUCAUCCCAACAAUCAGUCAAAUUUGGUCAAAUAUAUACCCAAUGUCCGCUAUUAUUACGCCACACAUGCUGAGAUAAAAUGUUGCAUACCGUAACCAAGUAUUAAACAAUCGUUUUACUAAAGUUUUUUUUAUUGGCAUACUUCCGAUUCUGCAAAAGCUGUUGAUGAGAAUACAAUGUAUAGAAAGCCGCCAGGAUUACGCAAAAAUAGUCCCAAACUCCACUACCAGCGAAGCACAAGACAUCACAACGACAUCAAACACAAACUCUUAUCAAACAAACAAAAAAUCGGCAUUUUAAGAGAAAACCCAAGUUCGCCCACAGUGCUGCCAAACGUUCCUCAGUAACAUCGACAACGUUAUCAACUCACUAUCAGUCGUCAUCGAACUAUCUUCAAAAGCAACUGCCUAAGCAUUUUAGUGGACAUCAUCAUUGUCAUCAAAUCGUAAUAACACGUAUACAGACGAGAAUACAGGUGGUGGGGGCAAGCGCUACGCUCGUCUCCAUUCCCGCGCUAAUAACUGUCGUAAGAAGAAUUAUGGACACAUCAACAAUAUGCGUCUUAAGAAGUUGGAGUAUAUUAUAAGUGGAAGACUAUUAUAAUACAAAAAAAAAAA